UGGGGAAUAUUGCACAAUGGGGGAAACCCUGAUGCAGCGACGCCGCGUGAGCGAAGAAGGCCUUCGGGUCGUAAAGCUCUUUUAUGAGGGAAGAUAAUGACGGUACCUCAAGAAAAAGCCCCGGCUAACUAGGUGCCAGCAGCCGCGGUAAUACGUAGGGGGCUAGCGUUGUCCGGAAUCACUGGGCGUAAAGGGUUCGCAGGCGGAAUAACAAGUCAGAUGUGAAAGGCAUGGGCUCAACCCAUGUAAGCAUUUGAAACUGUAAUUCUUGAGAAGUGGAGAGGUAAGUGGAAUUCCUAGUGUAGCGGUGAAAUGCGUAGAUAUUAGGAGGAAUACCUGUGGCGAAGGCGACUUACUGGACACAAAUCUGACGCUGAGGAACGAAAGCGUGGGUAGCAAACAGG
rnacentral:rRNA from 1 species